GACGUAGGAGGCGAGCGUUAUCCGGAUUCACUGGGCGUAAAGCGCAUGUAGGCGGUUUGGUAAGUCCGUUGUUAAAGCCCCCGGCUCAACUGGGGGAGGUCAAUGGAGACUCCUAGACUUGAGGGCAACAGAGGCACAUGGAACUCCCGGUGUAGCGGUGGAAUGCGUAGAUAUCGAGAGGAACACCUGCGGCGAAGGCGGGUUGCUGGGCUGACACUGACGCUGAUGUGCGAAAGCUAGGGGGGCGAACGGG
rnacentral:rRNA from 1 species